AUGGGGCAAGGCUACGGGGAGGGCUACGGGGUAGGGCUAUGGGAAAAGGCUAUGGAGACGGGCUAUGGGGCAAGGCUACGGGGAGGGCUAUGGGGCAAGGCUAUGGGAAAAGGCUAUGGAGACGGGCUAUGGGAAAAGGCUAUGGAGACUGGCUAUGGGGCAGGGCUAUGGGAAAAGGCUAUGGAGACGGGCUUUGGGGCAGGGCUAUGGGAAAAGGCUAUGGAUAUGGGCUAUGGGGCAAGGCUACGGGGAGGGCUAUGGGAAAAGGCUAUGGAGACGGGCUAUGGGGCAAGGCUACGGGGAGGGCUAUGGGGCAAGGCUAUGGGAAAAGGCUAUGGAGACGGGCUAUGGGGCAGGGCUAUGGGAAAAGGCUAUGGAGAUGGGCUAUGGGGCAAGGCUACGGGGAGGGCUAUGGGGCAAGGCUAUGGGAAAAGGCUAUGGAGACGGGCUAUGGGGCAGGGCUAUGGGAAAAGGCUAUGGAGACGGGCUAUGGGGCAAGGCUACGGGGAGGGCUAUGGGGCAGGGCUAUGGGAAAAGGCUAUGGAUAUGGGCUAUGGGGCAAGGCUACGGGGAGGGCUAUGGGGCAGGGCUAUGGGAAAAGGCUAUAGAUAUGGGCUAUGGGGCAAGGCUACAGGGAGGGCUAUGGGGCAGGGCUAUGGGAAAAGGCUAUGGAGAAGGGCUAUGGGGCAGGGCUAUGGGAAAAGGCUAUGGAUAUGGGCUAUGGGGCAAGGCUACGGGGAGGGCUAUGGGACAGGGCUAUGGGAAAAGGCUAUGGAGACGGGCUAUGGGACAGGGCUAUGGGAAAAGGCUAUGGAUAUGGGCUAUGGGGCAGGGCUAUGGGAAAAGGCUAUGGAUAUGGGCUAUGGGGUAGGGCUAUGGGAAAAGGCUAUGGAGAUGGGCUAUGGGGCAAGGCUACGGGGAGGGCUAUGGGGCAAAGCUAUGGGAAAAGGCUAUGGAGACAGGCUAUGGGGCAAGGCUACGGGGAGGGCUAUGGGGCAGGGCUAUGGGAAAAGGCUAUGA
rnacentral:lncRNA from 1 species